AAGUUUGGAGGUUUUAAGUUAUACACUUAAGUUCCUGUGACUUGUAAUAAAAUAUACAAAGCCUCUCUCUCUUUCUCCUAAAAUAUGCAUAAGUCCCCUUCUCUCUCUUCACUCUCUUCUUUAUCAAGACUAAUCUCUUCAGUCGAUUUUUCUUCUCUCUAGAGCCCAGAAGCUCUCCAAUCGUCGUCCUCAGGUAUGUUAACUAAUUUUGCAUCAGUGGCGAAGCAUUUUAAGAUCCAUAUUGCCUAUUUAAAAGUAUGGUUUGAUUAAAUUUUUUUUCGAUCUUGAUAAAAACCUAGUGUUCAUAAAGUGCUCAUAAAGUUCUGCUUUUUUCCAAAAUCUUUGAAGUUUUGCCUAUUUUUCUGUCAAAAUGUGUGUUAUUUGUCCUUAUUUUGCUUGUUUCGAUCUUUCUUUUUGUGUUUUUGCUUUUUGUAAAUUAUGAUCUAUUAAUAGACUUUUGGUCUAUUAUUCUUAUUCCCUAUCUGAAAAACAGGCAAAAUAAAGUCUCUAUUUGAGGAUGGUUCAGAUACAAUCGCCACAUCCCCGUUCAGGAUGGUUCAGAUAAAUUUGAGAGUGAUGGUUCUUAUAUCGUGGUUCAACAAAGUCUGUAUUGUUUAUAUAUAGAUCGUAUAAAUGCCUAGGUGUAGAGGAAGAAGAGGAAAAAUACUCCCCCAUUUUGGUGAUAUGGUUCAAACCCGUUCUACUGUGGAUCGUAAGGAUAAAAAAAGAA